rnacentral:rRNA from 1 species
UACAGAGGCCCCAAGCGUUAUCCGGAAUUAUUGGGCGUAAAGGGUGUCCAGGUGGCCCUGUUAGCCGUUUGUAAAAUCCGUGAGCUUAACUUACGGUUCGCAAGCGAAACGGCAGGGCUCGAGGGCGCGAGAGGUGCAUGGAACUCAUGGUGGAGGGGUGAAAUCCGUUGAUAUCAUGGGGAACACCAAAGGCGAAGGCAGUGCACUGGCGCGUUCCUGACACUCACACACGAAAGCCAGGGGAU